GACGAACGCUGGCGGCGUGCUUAACACAUGCAAGUCGAACGGAAAGGCCCCCACUUUUUUGGUGGGGGUGCUCGAGUGGCGAACGGGUGAGUAACACGUGGGUGAUCUGCCCUGUACUUCGGGAUAAGCUUGGGAAACUGGGUCUAAUACCGGAUAGGACCAUGGUUUAGUGUCUCAUGGUGGAAAGAUUAUUGUUUUGGUGCAGGAUGAGCUCGCGGCCUAUCAGCUUGUUGGUGGGGUAAUGGCCUACCAAGGCGUCGACGGGUAGCCGGCCUGAGAGGGUGGACGGCCACAUUGGGACUGAGAUACGGCCCAGACUCCUACGGGGGCAGCAGUGGGGAAUAUUGCACAAUGGGCGCAAGCCUGAUGCAGCGACGCCGCGUGGGGGAUGACGGCCUUCGGGUUGUAAACUCCUUUCGUUAGGGACGAAGCCGCACCUGUUUUGGG
rnacentral:rRNA from 1 species